rnacentral:rRNA from 1 species
GAUGAACGCUGGCGGCGUGCCUAAUACAUGCAAGUCGAGCGAACAGACGAGAGUGCUUGCACUCUCUGACGUUAGCGGCGGACGGGUGAGUAACACGUGGGUAACCUACCUAUAAGACUGGGAUAACUUCGGGAAACCGGAGCUAAUACCGGAUAAUAUUUAGCUUCGCAUGAAGCAAUAGUGAAAGACGGUUCUGCUGUCACUUAUAGAUGGACCCGCGGUGUAUUAGCUAGUUGGUGAGGUAACGGCUCACCAAGGCAACGAUACAUAGCCGCCCUGAGAGGGUGAUCGGCCACACUGGGACUGAGACACGGCCCAGACUCCUACGGGAGGCAGCAGUAGGGAAUCUUCCGCAAUGGACGAAAGUCUGACGGAGCAAUGCCGCGUGAGUGAAGAAGGUUUUCGGAUCGUAAAACUCUGUUGUAAGGGAAGAACAAGUACGUUAGUAACUGAACGUACCUUGACGGUACCUUACCAGAAAGCCACGGCUAACUACGUG